AAAAUAUAUCCUAAUAGGAAAGACAAUACAUACAUAAGUGAUAAAAAUCACAAUAUAUAGGUAUAUAAAAACAUAGAAUAACGGUCUGUAAGCUAAUAAUUUAGUAGCAAAAAUGGAAGACCUUUGAAACUAUGGAUAUAAAUGUAUAAAAUGACCUGAUUUAAAAUAUUAUGGUACUUUUGACUUAUAAACCUAUGGCAGUUACCAUACUACUGCCUUUUUUUUAAUAAUCGUCCCAUUUAAUUUUCAUCUGUAAAUUUUACAAGAGGAGAAUCUUAAUGAUAGUAACAAAACAUUUAGGAAAACUGUCCAGUGACAGUUUCUUUUACUUUUCUAAGGAUGAAUUUCUACUACAUAACACUAUACUAUAGAACAGUACUAAGAUUCGAAAAUCUGACAGAUAGAUCAAAUAGAAGAUGCCUUCUUAAUCUUCGCUGGACGGGAUGUCUCAUUAAGGGUUGAGCCAAUGCAUUGGGAUGAUUUUCUUUGCAUUCGUCAUAUUUCUGGGAGAAGUAAGAUAAUUUUUCUUCGACAGAUUUCAUUUUAAGGUCACGAGCAAUAACACUCUUGGUUACAUACAAUGGAGCAUUUAUGAUAAUCCUAAAUAUUUUGGACUGCAAUCUUUGUAGAAUUUCAAUAUUUAGUGGGAAGCUGUCACCCACAAUUGAAUUCCGUAGCUCCAUAUCGGUUUUAGGACGACUUUGCCAAUAAUCAUUAUUGGUAACUGAUAAUUUUGAUUUACGAUCUAAUAUCCAGUACAAUGUGCUAUGUUAUAAAACCAAUUGCUUCCUCUCAGCAAAUAUAUGAGUCAUCCAAGUUAAUCGUCGGUCCAGAUGGAUUUCCAGAUAUGUUACAGCUUGUUUUUGUUGCAAGAACUAGCCAUUUAAUGCCACAGUUGAACAAGCACCUAUUCGUAAGGUGUAGAUGACAUGGAUAGAUUUAAUUUUAUUAACUUUAAUUAAGAGAAUUAACAUCCAAGUGAGUCAAGCAAUAUUGUGUAAAGAGUUGUCAAACUUUGUCGAAAGCUUGUGAGAGGUCUAAAAAGAGCAGUAUUCUUUAAUCUUAACAGUAUUUAUACAUUUUUUUAUAUAAAAAAAA
rnacentral:lncRNA from 1 species